AAGUAAAGGAAAACGAUGGCGAGAAGAGAAGAGGAGUAAGAGGUUGGCCUGAGGAAAGGAGUGAGCUGCCGAUGUGUAAAGUGAAACUCAUAUUGACUCGCAUGAACUUCGUUUGUGUUCGUGAGGUGAAAAUGUGCGGACAGGAUUCUUCUGUGAACCUGACGGAAUUGUGGAAAGGUGUGAGUGACGAACUCGACUGAGAGGGAGCUAGUUUAGCUAUCAGCUAGCUCAGCGGCUAACGCGGGACUUGGCUGGAGCAUUGGCGGCUUGCCAAUGCAAAGAGUGGAGACCUCGGUGCGGAUUAUCGGAACUCGAAGGAAGAAGUUCUGAUGGAACCGUACUGGUUGCGGUGAGAACGUUUUUUCCCGGAUGCUGUCAGGAGUUUGGGGUCAUUUCUUUCAAGGGACGUUCAUCGGACCUCUUCACUCGGGCUUCUGACGGGACAGAUGCAGCAAUUAAUCACGACAGCGAAACGGGCGUCAUUUCCAUCCCGAGCUGGAGAGCCCGUCGCUGCGGUGGUGGCGGCGACGGCGGCGGCGACGACGGGCCUCGGUUCCAGGUCCCAAACACUUCCCUGAAAGCUGACUAAUUGAAAACAACGGAAAAAUUUUAUGUUCACCAAAGCUGCUAUCAGGAAAGCUCGGGAGUAAAUUCUUGAUCUAAUUUGAACUACCAUUAACCCAUGUUUAAAAUCUCUCCACUGCUGUGAAGGAGGAGAAAAGAAGGGUCUUCUCUUGGCCAAUGGAUUCACAGCCUAUUGUGCAGAUAUGAUAAUUAUUGUUUGCCUGCCUUCCCUCCCCCGCACACCAUUUUAUUCAAGGGAGCUCAGCAAACCCCUGGGGAUGUCUUGGAAAUGGAGCGAUUUUGAAGGGACUAAGAAAGGCAGAAUCCAAUGCACUGGUGUGUGAGAAGGGGGACUGUUAUUGAGACAAGUGCCUGUUUACAUGCUGACCUCGUCCAGCGCCAGCUCUGUUCCUACACACGGCUACAACACACGUCCAGUUUAAAACACCGAGAAACGCAGAGCAGCACAGUGAAGACGGCAUGAAUGCUUAUGCGUCAUUUUCAACGAUUCCGUUUUAAAUGAAGCCCUAAUACAAAAACAUACAGAUAUUUUUCUCACAUGCCUCUUGAUCAACUGAGAAUGUGUAUGAUGGCUCACAGACAUACUGCUUCCCAUUUAACGAUUUUUCACAUUUUGAGGUUUCAACCACAGACUUUUUUUUUUUUUACACAAAUUAGGUAAUGAUUAUGAAGUGUAGUUUUUAGUCCUCAACAUCUGAAACAAUUGUGUUGCAUAUGCAUUCAGCUCCUCUGUAGAACCACCUUUAAAUGCUAUUAGAUGCACACUAUAGUCUCUAACAGCUUUGCACAUAUAGAGACUGAAAUUCUUGCCUGUUCUUGUCAAAACAGACCAAGCUUAAUUUUGCCAUAUGUUCUUGAUGAGAUUUAGAUCUGGACUUUGACUGGACCAUUCUAACACAUGAGGGAUCUUCAAUCUAAACCAUUCCACUCUGUCUGGCUCAGUCUGAAGUCUUUAGCAGUUUAUCUUGUGGUAUUGAAACUUUGACCAAAUUCCCAAGCUGAAUAAAAAAGCAACCCCACAGCAUUAUGCUGCCACCAUGAUGUUUCAAAACAUUCAAGAUUCAGAGCUACUUUAUUGAUCCCAAAGGGAAAUUAAAUAAUCACUGCAGGGAUUGUGUUUUUAGGGUGAUGAGCAACGUUAGCUUUCCUCAACACGUUUUUUUACAUGUAGACCAAUGACUUGAGUUUAUCCAAUCAUCUACAGUCACAUGUUUGUUGCUUCCUGCAACAUAGCAUGCAGGUAACUACAAAUGAGAUUUCUAAUGACUUCCUUCUUUACACUGCGUCAUAAAGUUAUGAUUUGUUAAGUUGUACUACUAAUAGUUGUCAACAGAUUUUCGUGUGCAGCACUAGAAGAGUAAAUAAGGAAUUAUCCUGUAUUCUAUUCUAUAUGGCCAUAGGUUUGUAGUGGUGUGAUACUUUCUCUGUUGCUGAAAGAUGUAUAUAACUCUUUUAAAUUUUAUAAAACUUGAUAUUGUUUUAUAACCUAACCUGUCUUCUUGGAUUACAAUAUAACAAAACAUGAAAAAA